GUAAACUAUAUCCUGGAUCAGUUUGGGCUUGGUCGUUGAAGAUGGAGGAGCACGCUGCUUACUCGAAGUUGGGAGCUUCACUAUUCCCGAUAAAUAUAUCAUAUUUUUAUUUUCUAGUGCUAUUAGUAACAUAACAAACUGUUUUGAUUUUAUUUCUCUAAAUCAGCCCUCGUGCGUCGCCGGUUGCGUCAUCAGUUGCGUCGCUGGGGGAAAAAAGCGCCUAAAUUAGGAACGGAGGUCAAACCGCCAGCCACGUGGCGGCCCACGCGUGUGAAGGCCUGCCGGCGUUUAAGUGAAUGGACAUCAAACUAGGUCAGUCAGCCACUGUCAUAAAUCGUGGACUCUUACUGUGAAGGCCUGCCAGCAUAACGCUUCAUUAAAAAUGAACAUCAAACUAGCUUGGUCAGCCACUGUCAUAAGUUUUGGACUCUUAUUGUGAAGGCCUGCCAGCAUAAGGCCUUAAGAAGGAAGAUCAAACUAGAUUGGUCAGCCACUGUCAUAAGUCGUGGACUCUUACUGUGAAGGCCUGCCAGCAGAACGCUUCAUUAAAAAUGAACAUCAAACUAGCUUGGUCAGCCACUGUCAUAAGUCGUGGACUCUUAUUGUGAAGGCCUGUCAGCAUAAGGCUUCUUUAAGAAUGAACAUCAAACUAGAUUGGUCAGCCACUGUCAUAAGUCGGGGACUAUUACUGUGAAGGCCUGUCAGCACGAGGCUUUAAGUGAAUGAAUGUCAUAGUUUGGCCAGCCACUGUCAAGUCGUGGACUAUUAUUGUGAAGGCCUGCCAGGACAAGGCUUCUUAUAGUGAAUGAACGCCAAACUAGUUUGGUCAGCCGCUGUCCUAACUCGUGGACUAUUAUUGUGAAGGCCUGCCAGCAUGAUGCUUCAUAAAGUAUGCCCCCUGGAUGGCUUGAAGAAUGCUGCUUGACCCCAACAAGCAAUGAAACACUUGUCUAGUUGUGAGCAUGAAAUGAGGUGUAAUAAAUUCAAAUGUUUUAUCCUAGUUUUUUUGUCGUGCAUCUCAUUCAGCACCAUACUUAAAAACCUGCGUGAGCAUUUGUUGUCACUCAGAUAAAGAAUGGUGCCAGAGGAAAAAAAAGUCUUGUUAUAACUGGAGUUUCUUGGCCUUCUCCCAAGUUUCUCUUUUAAAGCAUGACACAAUCCAAAGUUGCCCAGAGCAACUGAUGCCAUUCUUGGACAUUUUGCUCUUGUCACAUGUUGAUAGUAAAAAAACAAUUCCUCAGCGAAAGAAAGUACUUUUAUUGAUCCACCAAUCACUGAACACCACAAUGAUUUCCAUCACAGUGCAGGUAAACUUGACAUCGAUGGUUGCAAAAACAAAUUAUUGUGGAGGGAAUGUUUGCUUGUUAUAAAGGCACUUUCUGCCUUGCACACAAAAAAGCAAUGAAUUGUAUUUUUUCUCAUUUUUGUUUUGCAUUACAGAAAUAUCAGCGAAAAAGAAGCAUUGACAUUGAAACUGUAUGGCUAAAUUCCAGUAAAAACCAUGUUUGUGUAAA